AGGAUAAUCGCUGAUGGCCACCCACAGGUGGCAAGGUCAUCUUUAUCUGAGGCCACCUGCACACUCCAGUAGCUUGCUGAGGACCUCUGGCUUCU
rnacentral:lncRNA from 1 species